CCUACGGGAGGCAGCAGUGAGGAAUAUUGGUCAAUGGGCGCGAGCCUGAACCAGCCAAGUAGCGUGAAGGAUGACUGCCCUACGGGUUGUAAACUUCUUUUAUAAAGGAAUAAAGUGAGGCACGUGGGCCUUUUUUUAUGUAUUUUAUGAAUAAGGAUCGGCUAACUCCGUGCCAGCAGCCGCGGUAUUACGGAGGAUCCGAGCGUUAUCCGGAUUUAUUGGGUGUAAAGGGAGCGUAGAUGGGUUGUUAAGUCAGUUGUGAAAGUUUGCGGCUCAACAGUAAAAUUGCAAUUGAUACUGGCAGCCUUGAGUACAGUUGAGGUAGGCGGAAUUCGUGGUGUAGCGGUGAAAUGCUUAGAUAUCACGAAGAACUCCGAUUGCGAAGGCAGCUUACUAAACUGCCACUGACAUUGAUGCUCGAAAGUGUGGGUAUCAAACAGGAUUAGAUACCCUAGUAGUC
rnacentral:rRNA from 1 species